GUAGGUGAACCUGCGGAAGGAUCAUUACAGAGUUCAUGCCCUUACGGGUAGAUCUCCCACCCUUUGAGUACUAUACUUUUGUUGCUUUGGCAGGCCGCUUCGGCUACCGGCUUCGGCUGGUGAGUGCCUGCCAGAGGACCCCAAAUUCUGAAUUAUAGUGUCGUCUGAGUAAAAAUAUAAAUUAUUUAAAACUUUCAACAACGGAUCUCUUGGUUCCG
rnacentral:misc_RNA from 1 species